rnacentral:rRNA from 1 species
UACGAAGGGGGCUAGCGUUGUUCGGAAUUACUGGGCGUAAAGCGCACGUAGGCGGAUAUUUAAGUCAGGGGUGAAAUCCCAGAGCUCAACUCUGGAACUGCCUUUGAUACUGGGUAUCUUGAGUAUGGAAGAGGUAAGUGGAAUUGCGAGUGUAGAGGUGAAAUUCGUAGAUAUUCGCAGGAACACCAGUGGCGAAGGCGGCUUACUGGUCCA